GCUGGGUGUGGUGGUGUAUGCCUGUAAUCCCAGCAGCGUGGGAGGCUGAGACAGGAGGAUCGAGAGUUCAAAGCCAGCCUCAGCAAAAGAGAGGUGCUAAGCAACUCAGUGAGACCCUGUCUCUA
rnacentral:sRNA from 1 species